UUUUACAUGUAUUCAUUUAUUUGAAUUUUUACUAUGUGGUUGGUGUGUUCGUAAGAUUUUUCGGUACUUAUGGUUAGUAAGAAUUAAUUUCUGUACCUUUUGUAUAAGAGUCUAUUAAGAAAAAAAUAUUUAUUUUAUUCUCCCGAUAGUAAGAAAUUUAUUAAAUUGGGUUAAUUUAGUGUUUCAAUAUUAAAUUAAACUUUUUAAUAAUUGGCUAGAUACUAUAUUGCUCUUACAGGUAUCUGGUUGGCCUUGCAGUAUAUUUAGUAUAGAGCUUUCUAGAAAAGCAUUCACAACAUUUUGGCUAAGCAGAGUGUUGGAAGUUAUUGAAUUUCAUAAGUAAAGUUUAUUAGUUGGAUAGGCUUAAUGUUAGUAAUUAGUUAGUUUGUUGUAAAAAAUCUAAUAAUAGGGUUUAAAUCAGUUUUUGAGGUCAUUUAAUUUAUGGGCUUAAUUUUUAAUAAAAAUUGUAACGAUGAUGAGAAUAAGUAGAAAAUAGUAUUUAAACUAUUACUUAGUUAUAGGAAGUAAUAAUUUAAGUGUUUCUUUAUUUAAUUUUUUUGUAAUUAAUUCGGCAAAUUUACUUUCCGAAUGUUUAACAAAAACAUUUCCUCCUGAGUUUGAUUAUAGGAGGUACGCCCUGCCCUAUGCUCUGCGGAGUAAAUGGCUGCAUAAAUCUGAGUGUACUAAGGUAGCAUGAUAAUUUGUUCUUUAAAUGGGGGCCUGUAUGAAUGGGUAUACGUGAUAGUUGCUGUGUCACAAAAAUUUAAUUGAAAUUAACUUUUAGGUGAGGAGGCCUAGUUGAGUUUAAAGGACGACAAGACCCUAGAAGCUUUACUGAGAAUCAGUUACAAAGUAAAUAAUUCUAGUUUUGUUGGGGCAACAUAGUUAGAAAAUAUAACUUUUCUUAAAAUCUAACUUACGAGUUAAAGCCACAGCAGUGAGUAAGAUAAGCUACUCUAGGGAUAACAGCGUAAUUUCUUUUAAUAGUACUUAUUGUAAAAGUAGUUUGCGACCUCGAUGUUGGAUUAAGGUAUCCUUAAGGUGUAUAAUUUUUAAAGGGUUGGUCUGUUCGUCCAUUAAAACCUUACAUGAUCUGAGUUCAGACCGGCGUGAGCUAGGUCAGAUUCUAUCCUUACAGCUAUAAGUGUAAUUAAAUUAGUACGAAAGGAAUUUUUAAUUUAAAAAUAUUUAAGUUAUUUAAUUUUCAUGAAGUUAAUUUAAUAACUUUGGUUGAAUUAGGCUAAUAUUAA
rnacentral:rRNA from 1 species